AUGCGGGUUGCCCACAAAGAGAAGAAGAUAAUUGUGCCAGAAUAUGAUCCCAACACUCUCCGUAGAAGCUCGAGGAUGAACAACUAUGAUGGAUUUAAAGCCCCCUCCAUGGCAGAAGGGAGAGUGUGCAAGAGCAAGGUGAAGCCUCGCCAUGUACCAGCAGCGCCCAACCUAAACAACACCACAUCUUCUGUUUGCACGGGAGUUCCACCACCAACCCCCAUUCCCACUCUGCAGGCCAUUGGUUCAGUGCGCCGCGGAAUACCUGCUGAAGAACUCUCCCCAGCAAAGCUUCUUGCAUCCAAGAAGGGGGAGUCUUCUACCUCCUCCUCUACCUAA
rnacentral:rRNA from 1 species